CAUCCCCAAACUCAGCCCUCCAGCUGUUUUAGGAUUACAACUCCCAUCAUCCCUAGCGAACAGGACCAGUGCUUGGGGAUGAUGGGAGUUGUAGUCUCAAAACAGCUGGAGGGCCGAGUUUGGGGAUG